rnacentral:rRNA from 1 species
CCCAGACUCCUACGGGAGGCAGCAGUGAGGAAUAUUGGUCAAUGGCCGAGAGGCUGAACCAGCCAAGUCGCGUGAGGGAAGACGGCCCUACGGGUUGUAAACCUCUUUUGUCGGGGAGCAAAGCGAACCACGUGUGGUUCAUUGAGAGUACCCGAAGAAAAAGCAUCGGCUAACUCCGUGCCAGCAGCCGCGGUAAUACGGAGGAUGCGAGCGUUAUCCGGAUUUAUUGGGUUUAAAGGGUGCGUAGGCGGGAUGCCAAGUAAGGGGUCAAAUGCGGGGGCUCAACCUGCGUCCGCCGUUGAAACUGGCGUUCUUGAGUGGGCGAGAAGUACGCGGAAUGCGUGGUGUAGCGGUGAAAUGCAUAGAUAUCACGCAGAACCCCGAUUGCGAAGGCAGCGUACCGGCGCUCAACUGACGCUCAUGCACGAAAGUGUGGGUAUCGAACAGGAUUAGAUACCCGGGUAA